rnacentral:lncRNA from 1 species
AGGGGAUACAUACCUUUCAUGCACUUUGAAGCUUUUUGAGGGGGAAUGAGGUGCUCUAUAUUUUCUUUUUCUUUUCUCUCAUUUGGGUAUCUUGUACCCCGAAUUCUACUGUCAGACACUAGUCCAUUUUUGCCUCUCGUCUCACUUUUUCUUUUCUUUGAGGUUCCGGGCACUUGCGCCUUUUUAUUUCCUCGUAUUUUUCUCUUUGUUUAGAGCACUCAUCAUCCUGGAAUAAUAUAGCAAGUGGUAGUAACCAAAGUAUUUGGAGCAUUUAUUUCACAGGGAAUAACAAGGACAGGAGAAUGUUUUUGGCUAUUCUCUUCUAGAUAGGAGUAGAAUAAUUUUGGGUGAAUCUGGAGAUGGAAAGG